rnacentral:lncRNA from 7 species
UAGCUAGAAGUCCACCCCGCACUCUAUAAGUAUGUUGCUGGCGUCCUCCUUCGACCAGAGGCUAGAACUAGGCCACCAUCGCAUUACAUCGCCGUGACCGGGGGGAAUUGACCUUGUCGCAGGGAAGGAGAUCGUGCUGCCAUGGAAAUUGCGGCCACACCAUCACCCAGCUCUCGGCGUGUGUUUUGGGGUUCGACCGAGGCGCGUGGGUGUGCGAACCUCCGGGAAGGAAGUGUGCGGUGUGACCCGAAUUUCUCGUUGCUAAUUGAGCGGUGCCGCUGGUCCGCGACUCAACGGGAGCCACGACCUCUACCCCAUAAAACCCGGUAUGUAACCUACACAAGAUUCGCUAGAGUCAUGGCUACUUGCAUAGAUGGUCGGGGGGCGGAUUGGUGAAUUGGCGUGAUGGGAGCGGGUGUCUCCGGCGAGCCGCGCCGCUGCUCUGGGAGGUUAUUUCGCCGUGGUGAGGCCGAGGAGAAAGAUGAGCGUUGUCCGUUGGAUCUGUGCUAUCUGGCUCAGAUUAGAUCAUAGGUGUACCACCUUGUGUGAUGAACCCUGGACGUCGGAUUGGGAAUUGAGCGGUCUAGAUCUGAUAUUAGCGUACCGGUUCGUUGGGGGAAAUCUGGAACGUUGGCGCGGUAUCGGACGAAGGAGGAUGAGUCGGGGCGGGAUCGCCCUCAUCCGUGAAUGUUAGAUCUGACGGUCGAAAAGGGUAUGCGUUAUAUGCUGCGCGAUCUAAUCCGGUGCGUCGGGUUUAGAUCGGGCGGCCCAGAUUCUAGGGUACCCCUUCGCGCUGAGCAUUUUACUUAAGAACCCCUCCGCUUCUGGGAAUUCAACGUGCGGUCCAUCCCUGGGUAUAGUUGAGUCUUGG